GAUGAACGCUGGCUACAGGCUUAACACAUGCAAGUCGAGGGGAAACGACGGGGAAGCUUGCUUCCCCGGGCGUCGACCGGCGCACGGGUGAGUAACGCGUAUCCAACCUGCCUCUGACUGAGGGAUAACCCGUCGAAAGUCGGCCUAAUACCUCAUGGUAUCGUCUGCGGGCAUCCAACGACGAUUAAAGAUUUCAUCGGUCAGAGAUGGGGAUGCGUCUGAUUAGCUUGUUGGCGGGGUAACGGCCCACCAAGGCUACGAUCAGUAGGGGUUCUGAGAGGAAGGUCCCCCACAUUGGAACUGAGACACGGUCCAAACUCCUACGGGAGGCAGCAGUGAGGAAUAUUGGUCAAUGGGCGAGAGCCUGAACCAGCCAAGUAGCGUGCAGGAUGACGGCCCUAUGGGUUGUAAACUGCUUUUAUGCGGGGAUAAAGUGAGGGACGUGUCCUUCAUUGCAGGUAC
rnacentral:rRNA from 1 species